rnacentral:sRNA from 1 species
GUUACAAAUAUUUAACCCCAUCCACAGGCUCACAGGUUAACCCUUGACCCCAAGCUGGCGGUGCUGCUUUGGGAGGUGGUGGAAGCUGUAGGAGGCAGGGCCUCAGUUGAGGAAGUGGGUCAGCAUGGCUCUGCAUUCUCAAGACACAACAAUCCAGAGGCAGUGACAUGAAUGCUUGCUCCGUGGACAGGUGGAAAAAUGACUGGGGAUAAAGGAUGGAUGAGAGCAGGACCUGCUGUCUCACAGCAGCGCCACACAGAACCCCACCUGCUGUGGAAUGCACACGAGCCAUUUUAGAGCAUGGGGGAAAUGUGGUAAAAUCCUUUAAAAUCUUCCUGACGAGUAAAUUCCUGGAAAGCAAUUAAUGUGGAAGGCUUUCAGGGACCAGAGGGAGUGGCAGAUAGCUUGAAUCCUGUUUCCUGAGUGGUCAGCCACGGACAUCACUCCAAACCAGGUAGCAAAGAGUGUGCUUUUUACAUCUCUGUUCUAGGAAGAACAUUUGCACAACUUCUAGCAACAUUCUUGGGUCAGUGGCCAUGACCCUGAGGCAAUGCUUAGCGCUACAGUGAUCGUUUGACUCCACACGGUACUACAAAAAGUGAAGCAGUGAAAGCCCUGGGCCACACCAACAAGCACGUGACAAGAGAGACGCUUGCUCAUACGACAGAGGCCUGCAUCCCUUAGGCAGAGUACUGACCAUGAUUGGAUGCGAAUGGAAGAAUGUCAACUAAGGAUUGUGUCUAUAUAGAAAAUCAUUAGCCAAACACCACAGGGCUAAUUAAUGUCAUUUGAAAUACUUUCUGUGUAUGUUGAAUAGAGUGCCGCCAUUAUCAUCUGGCCAAACGAAAUGCCUGCCCAUAAACAACAUGGAGCUAUUUAACAGGAUAGCUAAUUACAUCUCGUCUCACAGCCCCAACUGAUCCUAAGCAACAACUCCCUAAGCUGUGUUGUAGUGCAAGGUAGCCUAAGGCUCUGGGGCAGUUACUGAAUCAUGAGAUUUUACUGUUAGAACUUGUUCGGUGUGUUUAAAAACCACCAAAAUAUUGAAUGGAGUAAAGUUACUAGGGAGACCGCAGCUUGGAAAGAGGCAGAGGAGAUCAAGAUAGAGAGGGACACUUCAAAAGCCACGCUCGGGCUCACAGGCACCUGGCACGAAGCUAAGAAUGCUGGGGGAAUGGGAGGGAAAGUACCAAGCCCUGUGCUUUGCUCCAGGUCACCUGGUUCUAUGCGGCACCCUUGUGGGUGGCCUGUGGCAUCUAUGGCUGGAGGCAGCUGCAUGUGUUUCCAUGGUCUUCAGGUGGCAGGUUCUCUUUUUACCAAGCACUUUGUAUAAACUGUUCCCUUCAGCCUUCCUUCUUCACAUACAUUCUAUAGGAGGUUUAUUUUGGGCCCAAGGCGUGCUUCUCUCUGCAUUUGAUCUCAAAGCAAGCUCGUUGAAAAGAGGACCAGAGACCUAGACAAACCUUAUGGACUUGUGUCAUCCUUCUAUGUAUGCAAGAGACACAUUCCAGGUCCCCCCAUAGGCACCCAAGUUCUCACAUGCUCCGCUGUGGCAUUGCCAUAGAUCUGUACACAUCCCAGUGUGUGUAUUUUGAAUUGUCUCUAGACAAGUUUUGAUGAUAUUGCUGUGUCCAUGCCAGGGAGACAUUUGUUAAUGCUGCAUUGUGUUGGGGAUAAAGACAAGGGGAAAGCCACUCAUGCUCUGUGCAGAGGCAUUUUCAGUAAUCCCCCACCAUGGGGGAGGGAGGUCAGUUAAACCCUAGUGUCCAGGUUGGCUUUUUACUGCUGUGAUAAACACCAUGACCAAAAGCAAAUUGGGGAGAAAAGACUUCAUCUUAUGGCUUAUCGUGCAUCAUCCAGCAAGGCCAGGGCAGGAACUUGAGACAGGGACCUGGAAGGACGUACGAACUAAAGCAGAGACCAUAGAGGAAUGCUACUUACUCUCUUGCCUCCACUGCUUGUUCAUACAGCUCAGGACCACCUCCCACAACGAACUCCAUCCCCCAACCCACGUCCACCUUUAAUCAAGAGUCUUUCCUACAAACCAAUCUAAUGGAGGUAGUUUCUCAGCUGAGUGCUACUCCUCUACUAGUUUGUGUCAGGUUGACAAAUACUAACUAGCACCCUGGAUACAGCAGAUGUCAUGGAUACAAAGGGCUGGCUGCAGUGAUGGGACACUGGCCACCUUACUACCUUACUUCCUACCUACGAUGUGUCAAAGUCCAUCUCACUUUAAACCUAAAGGAGAAAAUAAUUUUGAAUAUUUUUCUUGAUUUUUUUCCCCAAAUGGGAUAUGGGAAAAAAGUACAACAUUACUGGGUCAUUAUUGUUCGUUUUCAGAACAAUGACAGAAUCUGAAAUCAUAUGGGAAAUGGACUCUGGGUUGGAACCCAGAACCUUGUCCCUCCCACUUAGGCAUGUGCUCUUACACUGAGCUACACCCUUGGCCUCAUACCUUCAUUUCUAAAAAUAAUGCCAAUGUGUAAUUGUGAGGAUUAAAGUAACAUGGAGACAAAUGAGUACACACUUCAUGUGCAUCAAAGCGGAGUCAUGCUAGGAAUUGCCUGGAGUGGACAUCUGUCUUAGGAGUUGCCAGGGAUGCUCAUAAUGACUCACAAAGUCUUCAGUGUGCUCCUUGACAUACAGUUUGUGUCACUGGUAUGGUCUUGGCCAGCUGCUCUCCAAUGUUUCCUCUAACUGGCUGCUCUCUGGACAUACCAUGAACCCCUCUGAGAACAAGCUUUUGCAGUGUAUCAGGGCCAACACCACUUGGCUUUUGAGAUGCUAUCUAUGUUUUCCAGCUACAGUGGUUUGUGACAUGCCUGGGCCUGUCCCAGUCUAUCCUAUGGAGACUGUUUACCUGCCUUUUUAAUGCUACAUACAUAUUCAGGUAAGCAGCCUGACGAUGAAUGAUGGCUGUAAGAAGCCAUUUCCAACAGUAGGUUGGGGUCUUGGUGGAUCUCAUGAUGCUCUUCUGUGGGGCUUCUGUAGACUUCAAGGACCAGUAAGCAGUUUUCACCCACAUGGGGGUAUGAGAUGUGAGAGGUGUUUUCUUGCUUUGUUCUCUUACAACUUUUCAAAUUAUAUGAAUGUAAUAAAAAGCAUACAUUAUUAAAAAUUUUAACUAGGUAUUUCACAUAUGGAGCUGUGAAGAAUUUCUUUUGGUGCCAAAAUGUCAUAAGGAAAAAAAGUAUGAGCUUUGUGAUUUGUGGACCUGCUAUGUAGGCAAUCUUUUUCAAAGUUGUAUUUUUCAAGAGGUGUUGGAACAUUUUUCUCCAUAAGGAUCACAGCCACAUUGCAGAGAACUUUCUAGAAAAGAAUUAAGAAUAUGCACCAAGAAACUCAUCACCACAACUGAGCACACAAUGGUGAGCAAGGUUAUCUCUAAAAUUGUACUCUAUACAUUUUUAAUACUCAAAAAGAAACAUCAAUGUGUCUCAUUUUCUAAUUUGUUAGAGAACAUGUCUGGUAACUGAUUAAACAAGCUAUAAAACACGGGGACCAAAGAGCCUCCAAGAACUUGAAAGACAUAUUACUUGGAUAAGCAAGUAACUCAUGAAAGUGAUGCUAUAGGAAAGAAUUUCUGUACAUCCUCCAUGGCUUGGUCCAAGUGAUGAGCCCUUUUCCAGUCCUUCUCAACAGACUUUAUGACCUACGUCGCCUAUUCCUCUCCUUAAUUCAUUAAACUGCAUUAAUUCAAACUAAUUAUCAUUUAAGCCUUUGACUCUAAAUUUCCUGGAUGAAAAUUUUGGAAUCUCUGAGUCAGAUGAACGUAUUACAUAAGUGCGCCCCAAGGAUUCACAAGCAGAAAACACAUCUUAGCGCUCAGUAAUGCCAGGGGACAUUCUUUUAGGGCAUCAUUCCUCCCUGAUUAUCAUUUUAUCUUCGCUCUUCAGUUGCAAGUCUUUCAUGAAGAAUUUGGGCAACGUUUUAAUUUAAAAAAAUUCCACCAUGCUACUUACAAACAUCAUUUUAAAAAACCUUUUAUUCAAUGGUAUACACAUUCAAGUAACAUUUGAAAUUUUUAAAAUAUAUGCUCAGAAGCAUGUGAACCUGCUGCUCUUGGUUAUUUACCUCACACACCCGGCUCAUGGUCACGUGCCCUUCAGGAGCCUAUUCCUGGAACCCCAUUUGGCAGUUUACCCAACAGAGCAAAAUUAAAAUUUAGAUCCUAGCCCCAAAAUGUUAUGUAACCAAAGCUUUGGUUUUUUGUGACCUUGAAGCGCUAGGUCAAGCCAAACAGCUUGAAUGUAAUUGUGUUUAACUGGAAACUCUGUGUCUGUACAUUUUUAAUGUCCCCAGAUUGCCACAUGAGACUCAGUCUUUAAAUGGGAUCCUUCUGAAGAGCAGAUUUCUUUGGGAGACAGGAUGAGGUAAAUAUGUAGAGACUAAUAUGACACAUGACUGUUUUGCAGGAUGACGCAACCAUGCAGUUGUUUUGUGAUUACCAAGCUCAUGAAGAAUGAACAAUAGACAUUGGAUGCAUUGGUUCAUGCUGUAGCCGCUGUAAUCAGGAAGCUGUGGGAGGAAGAACCCAAGUAGGAAGCCAAUCUGGAUACAUAGGGAUAGCCUGUCUAAGAAAACUAAAAAACUGUAUUCUGAAUACAACCCAAUGGCUUAAAGUAUCACUUAUAAGGAAACUGUAAACUUGCAAAACACUUAGAUUAUUUUUCUAAGGUUCCAAAGUAAGUGUAAUCGGUAAAGUUAAAAACUGUGGAGACAAUUAAGAGCAUGUAUGAGUCAGAUACUGGAAGCCUAGAAAGGAUCAAAAUUUAGAUCAAACAUGGGUUCUACUAAGGAUAUGCCCCCUAGCACUGUUUGGUCAAAGACCCACUAAUAUAUCCACCAAUAAUAAAGAGAACCUGUUCAAGUGUGUGUGUGCUGGAAUGACGCUCUUUGCUUUUCCAUUUUUUCCUGUCCAUUUGCCAGUACCAUUCCUUCUUAGUAUUUGUCGUGGUGGAAUGAUGUUCUGAGGACGUCUGAGGUUGGUACUAUGAGAGUUAUUUGUAAUGCUCAACUUGACACAGUGAAGGGAGGGUCAAUGUGGAAACUUCUGGGCUAGGAUGGCCUAUCAGGGGUGUUUGUGGGCAACUGUCAUGGUUACCUGCACAUGUGGGAAGAUCCGUGUGCAGCAUCUAUCUGUGACUUUGGAUCCUGAACUGUUGAGUGAUCAGAAAGUAGCUCAUUGAUUUCUGCUCCCAUUACUGCGUCUUCUCAGCUAUGUUGAACUGUGACCAGGAAUUGUGAGCCAAAAUAAAAAUUGCUUUUUAGGGUUCUUUAUCACAGCAACAAGAAAUAAAACUAAUCUAGAAACUGAACUUUAAGAAUUUAUUUAAACUCCACCUAGCCCAGAAGUUUCCACAUGGAUCCCAGCAGCCAGGAAAUGGAAGGAAAAAAUAUUCAUUCAUGGGGAGACAAUUAUACUUUCUUGAGCCACUGUACUUUCCGGAGUUAUGUCAUUUUACUGAAAUGGAGCCUUAUAAAUGGCAUAGCCCUGGUGUUUAAAAAUAAUGUAAUAUUCUUUGCAGCAUUCUUACAGAAUGAAUGAAGCACAGAUCCUGCUCAUUCUUCCUGUGUCCACUAUCCACACCAAAAGAAGAUCUACCCAAGUCGAAACCAUCACUCCAUCUGUUACUAUCACUCUUUGGAGUUCAGGACCCCAUCUGCUCCCAAGAGAGCAUGGUUGAAGGUCAGGGGUGGAGUCAGGAACAUUGGUUAGCAUGUUCAGCCCGAGUAGCUGCUGAGUCAGCAUCCAUUACAUCAUUUCUGCUCAUUCCCCAGGCCCUUCUCCAGGUCAUGCUGGACUCCUCCCUGCCAUGUGUCCUGCUCUUGGUGUCACCCUGUUCUUUGGCCCCAGUCUCCUCCUGCCGUCCUCAGAUGGAGGCAGACUCCAUGGAUGCCUGUCUUCUGUAUCUGGUAAACAGACACAGGAAAAUUGCUAGUUCAAAGUCAGCUAGAGCCACAAGGUCCCACUUCACAUUCUGAGUAACUGUCCCAGCUUCUGGAGAGCAAACAGAACAUGCUAAGGACCGUGACAUGGGAAGGUCAGUAGAGACAUCUAUUCUCCCAGUGAUGCUCAUACGGAAACAAUGUGUGACUGAAGUCAAAUGGAAAUACAAAAGCGUAUUUAUUCCUGGUCUAUGCAGUUCCUUGGACACCUGAUACCUCUCUCCUGCUAACAAGAGUUUCAACAAUGUUCACACACACAGAUGCCCCCAACUGGAGACAUAUCUAUAAAAAAAAUCUAUGAUGAAUUUUACUUGGAGCUAUAACAGCAAAAGUUCAAACAAUAUGCAUUCUUGAAAAACAGAAGAGUAAAAAAUAAAAGAUUACUGUAAUAUCCCAAACAAACAGAGAAGUGGUUGAUAUAUUUCUCUGAAGACUCUGGCUUGAUUCAUGUGUCCCACAGAGCACCAGGGAUCAGGUACCAAUAGGCUGGGUCUCAAGACUUUAGAGUCCCGAGGGUGCAGGGCGUGAGGAGACAAGGUUGAGCUGUAUGAAACAUAAUAGAAAACUUAAAAAUGAAACGAAGAGCGAAACAGCAGAAGUCAAGCAAAUGGCGGACACGGAGAGACACAGUAAGAAAAUGGCAACAUAUUUAGAUGUUGCUGCCUGCCGUGUGCUGUGGCUGCUGUGGCUACUGCUGUGGGACCAAGAGUGUUGUCUGGAAGGACAGAACACAGCACUGAAAAAUUUUGGUUUCAUGGAGGAAAAGAAGUUAAAGGAGAGAUGGUGUGGAGGAGAGAUGUGUGAAAAUAACAAAGGAAUAUAAAGAGUCAUCAACAAGAUCACGGGUGAGACACUGAAGUAGGAAAGCAACCCAUUCAUUCUAGAAUAAAAAUAGCAUCACACAAGUAUAAAGAAGACUCACCCCAGUGGAGAAAUGGGCCCUCUGGGCAUCAAGAAGGGGCAGGUACUUGGGAAUGCGCCCCCCCAACCCCCGAGCGCCCCAGUCUUUGUACCUUUCUGUUGACAAAGGCCCAGCUUCCCUGCAGCUCAACGAACACUUGCUGUUUGAGGCUAAACUGGGAACCAGAUGAAAAAAAGAGGAGUAACCGACCAGCAUCUAAACAAACAAGAAUAAAUUAC